rnacentral:rRNA from 1 species
UACAGAGGUCUCAAGCGUUGUUCGGAUUCAUUGGGCGUAAAGCGCGUGUAGGCGGCCAGAUAGGUCUGCUGUGAAAACUCGAGGCUCAACCUCGAGCUGUCGGCGGAAACCAUCUGGCUAGAGUCCGGAAGAGGAGAGUGGAAUUCCUGGUGUAGCGGUGAAAUGCGCAGAUAUCAGGAAGAACACCUGUGGUGUAGACGGCUUACUGGACCAUGACUGACGCUGAGGCACGAAAGCGCGGGGAGCAAACAGG